AGACCUUGGAUUAGUAUGUUAGUUUCAUGGGGUUUGUUUUGUUUUGCUUGAAUUGUUUGUUUUUGUCUAGGUGGUGGUUCUAAGUGGUUUUAUUUUCAGUUAUUUUUAAUUGUGUAUUAUUUGCACAUGUAUGUAUAAAUGAGUAGCUGAAUAGCAUAGUGGUUGGAGGCUAAGAUCAAGACAACAGAGAAAAGUUAAGUCAACUGGUAGAAUGACAGAAGGCUAUGGAAAGAAAGGAUAAGAUUCAGAUCCAUUUCUCAAUGAAGUCAUAAAUGUAUAGAAUGGAUAAUUGGGCACAAACAUUCCCCUAGGAGCUUUGUUCUCAUAACUUGCUUAAUUCAAUCUGAAAUCACAUUAUUACUCUGUGCAUGACAGCAGCCGCUGUAUAUUCUCACCAAAUCCCACUUGCGGAGUGCCAAUCAAAAGGUGCUCAUGCUGUGAUUGUAUGUACUCUACUUCUGUCUAAUUAAAUGGGUAACUCAGGAGAAACUUGUUCCUGCAAAAUGAGAGCCCAACUUUUUUCAUCUUCAACAGACACUUCGUUUCAUUUCAGAGCAAGUAUUCUGAUGAGCAUUCAGAGCAUUAAACUACCAAUGUACAAAUGA